rnacentral:snRNA from 1 species
UUUGCUUCUCAGUCUUUUGGUUAAGAUCCAGUAUAGUGCUUGUUCCUAUCAGUUUCCUAUUUGAUUUGUUUGUCUGAGGACAAUAUAUUUAAUGGACUUUUGGAACAGGGAGAAGGAAUAGGAGCUCGCUUCAUUCACACUUCAUGUAUCCUCCUGGUAUUGCAGCUCCCCCAGGAAUGGUGAAGAAGGA